rnacentral:rRNA from 1 species
AGUGGGGGAUAACGUAGCGAAAGUUACGCUAAUACCGCAUAUGCCCUGAGGGGGAAAGGAGGGGAUCGCAAGACCUUUCGCUUUCGGAGUGGCCGAUAUCAGAUUAGCUAGUUGGUGGGGUAAAGGCCCACCAAGGCGACGAUCUGUAGCGGGUCUGAGAGGAUGAUCCGCCACACUGGGACUGAGACACGGCCCAGACUCCUACGGGAGGCAGCAGUGGGGAAUUUUGGACAAUGGGGGCAACCCUGAUCCAGCCAUGCCGCGUGAGUGAAGAAGGCCUUCGGGUUGUAAAGCUCUUUCGGACGGAAAGAAAUCCUGCCCGCUAAUACCGGGUGGGGAUGACGGUACCGUAAGAAGAAGCACCGGCUAACUACGUGCCAGCAGCCGCGGUAAUACGUAGGGUGCGAGCGUUAAUCGGAAUUACUGGGCGUAAAGUGUGCGCAGGCGGUUUUGUAAGACAGGCGUGAAAUCCCCGGGCUUAACCUGGGAACUGCGUUUGUGACUGCAAGGCUAGAGUGCGGCAGAGGGGGGUAGAAUUCCA